rnacentral:tRNA from 1 species
ACCGGUCGUAUAGUCCGGACUAGUAUGCGGGCCUGUCGAGCCCGUGACCCGGGUUCAAAUCCCGGCCGGGGCGCCA